rnacentral:rRNA from 1 species
UUGGGCGUAAAGAGCUCGUAGGCGGUUUGUCGCGUCUGCUGUGAAAUCUGGAGGCUCAACCUCCAGCCUGCAGUGGGUACGGGCAGACUAGAGUGCGGUAGGGGAGAUUGGAAUUCCUGGUGUAGCGGUGGAAUGCGCAGAUAUCAGGAGGAACACCGAUGGCGAAGGCAGAUCUCUGGGCCGUAACUGACGCUGAGGAGCGAAAGCAUGGGGAGCGAACAGGAUUAGAUACCCUGGUAGUCCAUGCCGUAAACGUUGGGAACUAGAUGUAGGGGCCAUUCCACGGUUUCUGUGUCGCAGCUAACGCAUUAAGUUCCCCGCCUGGGGAGUACGGCCGCAAGGCUAAAACUCAAAGGAAUUGACGGGGGCCCGCACAAGCGGCGGAGCAUGCGGAUUAAUUCGAUGCAACGCGAAGAACCUUACCAAGGCUUGACAUGAGCGAGAACGGGCCAGAAAUGGUCAACUCUUUGGACACUCGUUUACAGGUGGUGCAUGGUUGUCGUCAGCUCGUGUCGUGAGAUGUUGGGUUAAGUCCCGCAACGAGCGCAACCCUCGUUCUAUGUUGCCAGCACGUUAUGGUGGGAACUCAUAGGAGACUGCCGGGGUCAACUCGGAGGAAGGUGGGGAUGACGUCAAAUCAUCAUGCCCCUUAUGUCUUGGGCUUCACGCAUGCUACAAUGGCCGGUACAAAGGGCUGCGAUACCGUAAGGUGGAGCGAAUCCCAAAAAGCCGGUCUCAGUUCGGAUUGAGGUCUGCAACUCGACCUCAUGAAGUCGGAGUCGCUAGUAAUCGCAGAUCAGCAACGCUGCGGUGAAUACGUUCCCGGGCCUUGUACACACCGCCCGUCAAGUCAUGAAAGUCGGUAACACCCAACGCCAGUGGCCUAACCUUCGGGAGGGA